GGGGCUAUGGCGCAGCUGGUAGCGCGACAGUAUGGCAUACUGUAGGUCAGGGGUUCGAAUCCCCUUAGCUCCA
rnacentral:tRNA from 1 species